rnacentral:rRNA from 1 species
AUACGGAGGGUGCAAGCGUUGUUCGGAAUUACUGGGCGUAAAGCGCGCGUAGGCGGUUUGUUAUGUCAGAUGUGAAAGUCCACGGCUCGACCGUGGAAGUGCAUUUGAAACUGGCAAACUUGAGUACUGGAGGGGGUGGUGGAAUUCCCGGUGUAGAGGUGAAAUUCGUAGAUAUCGGGAGGAAUACCGGUGGCGAAGGCGACCACCUGGCCAGAUACUGACGCUGAGGUGCGAAAGCGUGGGGAGCAAACAGGAUUAGAUACCCCAGUAGUCC